AAACUUAAAUGAAUUGACGGGACCCGCACAAGCGGUGGAUGAUGUGGAUUAAUUCGAUGCAACGCGAAAAACCUUACCUACCCUUGACAUGUCCGGAAUCCCGAAGAGAUUUGGGAGUGCUCGCAAGAGAACCGGAACACAGGUGCUGCAUGGCUGUCGUCAGCUCGUGUCGUGAGAUGUUGGGUUAAGUCCCGCAACGAGCGCAACCCUUGUCAUUAGUUGCCAUCAUUUGGUUGGGCACUCUAAUGAGACUGCCGGUGACAAACCGGAGGAAGGUGGGGAUGACGUCAAGUCCUCAUGGCCCUUAUGGGUAGGGCUUCACACGUCAUACAAUGGUCGGUACAGAGGGUAGCCAACCCGCGAGGGGGAGCCAAUCCCACAAAGCCGGUCGUAGUCCGGAUCGCAGUCUGCAACUCGACUGCGUGAAGUCGGAAUCGCUAGUAACCGCGAAUCAGCAGGUCGCGGUGAAUACGUUCCCGGGCCUU
rnacentral:rRNA from 1 species